UACGGGGGGAGCAAGCGUUGUUCGGAUUUACUGGGCGUAAAGGGCGCGUAGGCGGCCACCGCAAGUCGACUGUGAAAUCUCCGGGCUUAACCCGGAAAGGUCAGCCGAUACUGCGGGGCUAGAGUGCAGAAGGGGCAACUGGAAUUCUCGGUGUAGCGGUGAAAUGCGUAGAUAUCGAGAGGAACACCUGCGGCGAAGGCGGGUUGCUGGGCCAACACUGACGCUGAGGCGCGAAAGCCAGGGGAGCAAACGGG
rnacentral:rRNA from 1 species